rnacentral:rRNA from 1 species
GGCGGCGUGCUUAACACAUGCAAGUCGAACGAACCUUCGGGUUAGUGGCGGACGGGUGAGUAACGCGUGGGAAUCUGCCCUCAGGAGGGGGAUAACGGCUGGAAACGGCCGCUAAUACCCCAUAUGCCGAGAGGUGAAAUGAAAUUCGCCUGAGGAUGAGCCCGCGUCUGAUUAGCUAGUUGGUGUGGUAAUGGCGCACCAAGGCUUCGAUCAUUAGCUGGUCUGAGAGGAUGAUCAGCCACACUGGGACUGAGACACGGCCCAGACUCCUACGGGAGGCAGCAGUGGGGAAUUUUCCAAUGGGCGAAAGCCUGACGGAGCAACGCCGCGUGAGGGAUGAAGGCCUCUGGGCUGUAAACCUCUUUUCUCAAGAAGAAGAACUGACGGUACUUGAGGAAUAAGCCACGGCUAAUUCCGUGCCAGCAGCCGCGGUAAUACGGGAGUGGCAAGCGUUAUCCGGAAUUAUUGGGCGUAAAGCGUCCGCAGGCGGCCUUGUAAGUCUGCUGUCAAAGCGUGGAGCUUAACUCCAUUUCGGCAGUGGAAACUACAAGGCUUGAGUGUGGUAGGGGCAGAGGGAAUUCCCGGUGUAGCGGUGAAAUGCGUAGAUAUCGGGAAGAACACCAGUGGCGAAGGCGCUCUGCUGGGCCAUAACUGACGCUCAUGGACGAAAGCCAGGGUAGCGAAAGGGAUUGGAUACCCCUGUAGUCCUGGCCGUAAACGAUGAACACUAGGUGUCGGGGGAAUCGACCCCCUCGGUGUCGUAGCCAACGCGUUAAGUGUUCCGCCUGGGGAGUACGCACGCAAGUGUGAAACUCAAAGGAAUUGACGGGGGCCCGCACAAGCGGUGGAGUAUGUGGUUUAAUUCGAUGCAACGCGAAGAACCUUACCAGGGUUUGACAUCCUGCGAACCCCUUGGAAACGAGGGGGUGCCUUCGGGAACGCAGUGACAGGUGGUGCAUGGCUGUCGUCAGCUCGUGUCGUGAGAUGUUGGGUUAAGUCCCGCAACGAGCGCAACCCACGUCGUUAGUUGCCAGCAUUAAGUUGGGCACUCUAGCGAGACCGCCGGUGAUAAACCGGAGGAAGGUGUGGAUGACGUCAAGUCAUCAUGCCCCUUACAUCCUGGGCUACACACGUACUACAAUGCUACGGACAAAGGGCAGCAAGCUCGCGAGAGUGAGCAAAUCCCAUAAACCGUGGCUCAGUUCAGAUCGUAGGCUGCAACUCGCCUACGUGAAGGAGGAAUCGCUAGUAAUCGCAGGUCAGCAUACUGCGGUGAAUACGUUCCCGGGCCUUGUACACACCGCCCGUCACACCAUGGAAGUUGGCCACGCCCGAAGUCGUUACUCCAACCCUUGUGGAGGAGGAUGCCGAAGGUGGGGCUGAUGACUGGGGUGAAGUCGUAACAAGGUA